GUCCAGACUCCUACGGGAGGCAGCAGUGGGGGAUAUUGCACAAUGGAGGAAACUCUGAUGCAGCGACGCCGCGUGAGGGAAGACGGUCUUCGGAUUGUAAACCUCUGUCUUUGGGGAAGAAAAUGACGGUACCCAAAGAGGAAGCUCCGGCUAACUCCGUGCCAGCAGCCGCGGUAAUACGGAGGAUGCGAGCGUUAUCCGGAUUUAUUGGGUUUAAAGGGUGCGUAGGCGGGCUGCCAAGUCAGCGGUAAAAUUGCGGGGCUCACCCCCGGCGAGCCGUUGAAACUGGCGGUCUUGAGUGGGCGAGAAGUAUGCGGAAUGCGUGGUGUAGCGGUGAAAUGCAUAGAUAUCACGCAGAACUCCGAUUGCGAAGGCAGCAUACCGGCGCCCGACUGACGCUGAAGCACGAAAGCGUGGGUAUCGAACAGGAUUAGAUACCCGAGUACC
rnacentral:rRNA from 1 species